GAGACGGAGAGGGAGCGAGAUGGAGAGGGAGAGAGACGGAGAGGGAGAGAGAUGGAGAGGGAGAGAGACGGAGAGGGAGAGAGUGGGAGAGAGAGAGAGAGGGAGAAAGACGAAUGGAAUGCUUUUGGAAACAAAAUGUUGUUUAGUGUGUAAAGAGGAAGGAACGAAGUAGGAUGAGGUCCUUACGAAAAAGCUGACAUUAAUUGAAAAUAAUUGUAGAACCGCGGACAACAAAAGAGCUUUCGGUGUCUUCGACGAAGUACGAAUUUCAUGGAUUCGAGGACGUCAUACAUAUCUCGUUAACAUUCUCCAACGACUAGAUCGAGUAGCGUGAAUUCUGAGUGAAGUACAUCGAACGAGAAUCCUUCCGCCAUCGUACUCACUUUUCUUGAUUCUACGUGGUAACUUCCGCUACGCAAAUGACAAGGACGAGGAGGAUGAGGAAGAGGACGAUGGUACUCUUUUGCGAAGGAUUCAUAUUUUCCAAUUCCAUUUCGUUCUCCAUCUCGAAUUUCUAGGAAUUUUCAGAAAAUUUUUUUUUAUAUUUGGUAUGAUCUGGUAUAUAUGAUGUACAUAGAAAAUAUAUAUACACCUCUAUAUACCUAUAUACAUAUAUAUAGGAUGUCCCGUUUAUAGCGAAAAAUUGGAACAUCUCGUGAGGGAUUGAAGCAACAAAAAAAAUUUUGCUAGAGAUUUAUUUCAUAUCAAGAGACAAGUUUAACGCAACAAUUACAUUUUCUAACUCCAAUGUUCAAUGGCACCUACCAACCGGAAUUCUACAACGUGUUUAAACAAUAAUUAUAAUAAAAUGUUAUAAAUAGUUUUACCAAUUACAAGUAAUUAAAGAGCACAGCUAGCACUGCUAGUUAUCAAUUAUACCGAUGCAUGUAAUAAAUAAAAGACGAAUUAUGACGAAAAAAAAUUUCUUCUAAUUCAGACAGAAAUUUGAAAACAACAACUGAAGAAAAGCAAUUCGUCUUUUGUUUAAAGGUAUUAAUUAUAUAUUAGCGCACAUUAUAAAAUAACA